rnacentral:rRNA from 1 species
CCUGCGGGAGGCAGCAGUGGGGAAUAUUGGACAAUGGGCGAAAGCCUGAUCCAGCCAUGCCGCGUGUGUGAAGAAGGCCUUCGGGUUGUAAAGCACUUUCAGUGGGGAAGAAAGCCUUGGGGCUAAUACCCUCGAGGAAGGACAUCACCCACAGAAGAAGCACCGGCUAACUCCGUGCCAGCAGCCGCGGUAAUACGGAGGGUGCGAGCGUUAAUCGGAAUUACUGGGCGUAAAGCGCGCGUAGGCGGUCUGAUAAGCCGGUUGUGAAAGCCCCGGGCUCAACCUGGGAACGGCAUCCGGAACUGUCAGGCUAGAGUGCAGGAGAGGAAGGUAGAAUUCCCGGUGUAGCGGUGAAAUGCGUAGAGAUCGGGAGGAAUACCAGUGGCGAAGGCGGCCUUCUGGACUGACACUGACGCUGAGGUGCGAAAGCGUGGGUAGCAAACAGGAUUAGAUACCCUAGUAGUC